rnacentral:rRNA from 1 species
UGGGGAAUAUUGGACAAUGGGGGGAACCCUGAUCCAGCCAUGCCGCGUGUGUGAAGAAGGCCUUAUGGUUGUAAAGCACUUUAAGCGAGGAGGAGGGUACUGGUAUUAAUACUACCAGCUACUGGACGUUACUCGCAGAAUAAGCACCGGCUAACUCUGUGCCAGCAGCCGCGGUAAUACAGAGGGUGCGAGCGUUAAUCGGAUUUACUGGGCGUAAAGCGUGCGUAGGCGGCUAAUUGAGUCGGAUGUGAAAUCCCCGACCUUAACUUGGGAAUUGCAUUCGAUACUGGUUAGCUAGAGUGUGGGAGAGGAUGGUAGAAUUCCAGGUGUAGCGGUGAAAUGCGUAGAUAUAGGAAGGAACACCAGUGGCGAAGGCGACCACCUGGGCUCAUACUGACACUGAGGUGCGAAAGCGUGGGGAGCAAACAGG